CUUUGCUUUAUUAAAACAUCUAAAAUGUGAAGUUACUUUUCUGAUGUUGUAGAUACCUUGUUAUUGUUUUCACGUACAAUUUUUUCAUUUUAACAGGGCAUUCAUUGGGUUCACGAGAAACAGGGAGCUGAUGCUAAUUAGCUUUUUGUUGCACACAUAUGUUAUCAAUUUACACACAUCCAAUGAAAUGGUGCCUUAUUAAGUGAUUUGCUCAGAGAUUGACUUGUAAUUUCAGUUAACCUGGUGGAUCCAAUCAGUUAACCUGGUGGAUCCCUGUGCAUCAUCGAAGAUUACAUGUGGGGUAAGUGAUGCUUGAGAGAAUUGUGAAUUCUCUUUUGUUUGACUACCUGUUGGGACUGCUUGUGGUUUAUUUUUUGGUUGUUUUGGACCUGUCAAUUUUGUCAUUAUUUUCUAUACAAUUCUGAUUCGCCUAAUUUUGUCCAUUUUCUUGUGCACUGAUGAUGAACAUGAUGGAAUUGAACUGAUU
rnacentral:lncRNA from 1 species